rnacentral:rRNA from 1 species
GAUGAACGCUGGCGGCGUGCUUAACACAUGCAAGUCGAACGUGAGAGGAUAGCAAUAUUCUUGAAAGUGGCAGACGGGUGAGUAAUACAUAGGUAACCUACCUCAAUGUUGGGGAUAACCUUCCGAAAGGAGGGCUAAUACCGAAUAAGACCACAGGAACUACGGUUCCAGGGGUUAAAGGCGGCUUCGGCUGUCGCAAUGAGAUGGGCUUAUGCAGCAUCAGCUAGUUGGUAAGGUAAUGGCUUACCAAGGCUUUGACGCUUAACUGAUCUGAGAGGUUGAUCAGUCACACUGGAACUGAGACACGGUCCAGACUCCUACGGGAGGCAGCAGUGGGGAAUAUUGGACAAUGGGCGCAAGCCUGAUCCAGCCAUGCCGCGUGAGUGAUGAAGGCCUUAGGGUUGUAAAGCUCUUUCAGUGGGGACGAUAAUGACGGUACCCACAGAAGAAGCCCCGGCUAACUUCGUGCCAGCAGCCGCGGUAAU